ACCGUAUUGGCUUAGUUGGAUAAAGCAACCGCCUGCUAAGCGGUAGAUCGUGGGUUCGAGUCCCACAUACGAAA
rfam:Clostridium cellulolyticum H10, complete genome.